rnacentral:rRNA from 1 species
UACGGAGGAUGCGAGCGUUAUCCGGAUUUAUUGGGUUUAAAGGGUGCGUAGGCGGAUCGUUAAGUCAGUGGUCAAAUUGAGGGGCUCCACCCCUUCCCGCCAUUGAAACUGGCGAUCUUGAGUGGAAGAGAAGUAUGCGGAAUGCGUGGUGUAGCGGUGAAAUGCAUAGAUAUCACGCAGAACCCCGAUUGCGAAGGCAGCAUGCCGGCUUCCUACUGACGCUGAAGCACGAAAGCGUGGGGAUCGAACAGG